CCCAGUGUCCCUGUUCCCCAGUGUCCCUGUUCCCCAGUGUCCCUGUUCCCCUGUUCCCCACUCCAUGUGAUGUGGUAUGUCUCCCGUCUACCCCCCAACAUCCUAAUACCCUGGCUAGGGGCAGUGUCUCCCGUCUACCCCCCAACAUCCUAAUACCCAGGCUAGGGGCGGUGUCUCCCGUCUACUCCCCAACAUCCUAAUACCCAGGCUAGGGUCGGUGUCUCCCGUCUAACCCCCAACAUCCUAAUACCCAGGCUAGGGGCGGUGUCUCCUGUCUAACCCCAACAUCCUAAUACCCUGGCUAGGGGCGGUGUCUCCUGUCUAACCCCAACAUCCUAAUACCCUGGCUAGGGGCGGUGUCUCCUGUCUAACCCCAACAUCCUAAUACCCAGGCUAGGGGCGGUGUCUCCCGUCUAACCCCCAACAUCCUAAUACCCAGGCUAGGGGCGGUGUCUCCCGUCUAACCCCCAACAUCCUAAUACCCAGGCUAGGGGCGUUGUCUCCUGUCUACUCCCCAACAUCCUAACACCCUGUGUGCCCCUGUCUCCUGUCUACUCCCCAACAUCCUAAUACCCUGGCUAGGGGCGGUGUCUCCUGUCUACCCCCCAACAUCCUAAUACCCAGGCUAGGGGUGGUGUCUCCUGUCUACAUCCUAAUACCCUGGCUAGGGUCUGUGUCAGGACAGUAGAGGGCCUCCACUAUACUACCCUCCAGAACAACACACCAGACCCUCCACUAUACUACCCUCCAGAACAACACACCAGACCCUCCACUAUACUACCCUCCAUACCAAUCACAGACCCUCCACUACACGACCCUCCAGACCAAUAACAGACCCUCCACUAUACUACCCUCCAGACCAAUAACAGACCCUCCACUAUACUACCCUCCAGAACAGACCCUCCACUAUACUACCCUCCAGAACAAUCACACCAGACCCUGAACUAUACUACCCUCCAGAACAAUCACACCAGACCCUGCACUAUACUACCCUCCAGAACAAUCACACCAGACCCUCCACACUACCCUACUCACAGACCCUCCAGACCCUCCACUAUACUACCCUCCAGACCCUCCACUAUACUACCCUCCAGAACAAUCACACCAGACCCUCCACUAUACUACCCUAAGUCUAAAUAUUGCUGUUACAUUGUACAACCUUCAAUGUUGUCAUAAUUAUGUACAAUUCUGGCAAGUUAAUUACGGUCUUUGUUAGGAAUAAAUGGACUUCACACAGUUCACAACGAGCCAGGCGGCCCAAACUGCUGCAUAAACCCUGACUGCUUGCACGGAACGCAAGAGAUGUGACACAAUUUCCCUAGUUAAAAGCAAUUCAUGUUAGCAGGCAAUAUUAACUAAAUAUGCAGGUGUACAAAUAUAUACUUGUGUAUUGAUUUUAAAGAAAGGCAUUGAUGUUUAUGGUUUGGUACACAUUGGUGCAACGCCAGUGAUUUUUUCGCAAAUGCGCUUGUUAAAUCAACACCCUUUUGGCGAAGUAGGCUGUUAUUUGAUGAGAAAUUAGCAGGCACCGCAUUGAUCAUAUGCAACGCAG
ensembl:lncRNA